rnacentral:lncRNA from 1 species
AGAGACAGGAACCAUUCCCAAGUAUUCAUUAUAAUGUAUCUUGUUAAAGAAUAUCUGUCACCAGAAUUCUAAAAUCUUUAUAAACAGUGGUAAAAAUGUGAAAUACUGAUAUUGUAACACCAAUUAAGCCUACCAUUUUUCCCAAUGUAUUCAAUGUUUUAAAGGAGGCUAUUUCUCUUUGCAAUCUUUCCAGGUAGACUCACAGAAAGCCAACCAUUUCAUAGAACUAGAUCUGUGCAACUGAGUGGAGAUCGGGCUGCCCAUGGCUGAGACGUAGGGACCACCCUCCCUCACACAGCAAAGGCAUGCUUGCAGGGACUGCGUGCCAUUCACAUUUGUUUUUCUAGACCCUUACACACAUCUGAACAUUAAAGAUGCCCAAGAAAUCCUCAAUGAAAAGAAAAAGGUGCAGAGACUCAGUGAAUGUAUACGGCUUCUCCUUAGUCUCAAUUUUUCGUGCUUUCUCUCCUUCCGCACUCUCAGCCUCUUUUUAUUCUCCUCCUUUCUUCUUGUGCUAGGAGCUUGGGAGGACCCAUGAUGGUUCCUCCUUCAAGUAGAGUGAAAAAAGGAGGGCUAUAGGCUAUAACUCUUUUCUAUUUAAAAUUCCUUUGGGCUGAAAGAGGAAAGCAGAGGGCAUUAUCACAAACUGUGAAGCACAGACCACCAAUAUCCUUCUGUUGGAGGAGGUCAUGGAGAGGAGGUGACCACUGGCUGACCUGUGAGCAGGAGCUGGGCAAUCAGAGGCUCCUCACUCCUCUCCUGUGCUUGGAAUGUGUGUUUGGCCCACUGUUCCCACAGCUGGAGCCAUUUUCAAGGUGUAGCCUUGAGCUAGUAAGGUGUUGUAGAGGCCACCUGGAUGGCAUUAAGGCCUCUAUAUAAACUUUAUGUUUCUGGCGGUUGGGUGCGUAGAUCUACUCGUCUUGUGACUGCUAAGACAAGCCUUAUAUGGCAGCCUGUUCAGGGAGCCAAGAGCCCCUUUCCAGUGACCUGUAAGAGGGGCCCCUCCUUGUUUGGGACAGCCCCCAGGGAAAGAGACGCUGCCCAACUGAACCAGCUGAUCAUCCUAGAACUAACUGCUCCCCAGACUGCCGUCCCUCCUCGCUGGGGGCCACCUCUCCUGGUCAAGUCAGCUGCUAUGACAGAUGAACACAGACUGGGCAGCUUAAACAACAGACAUUUGUUGCUCACAGGUCCCGAGGCUGGAAGCGUGAAAUUGGGGUGUCUGCAUGGCCGUGUUUUGGUGAGGGCUCUCUUCCUGACUUGUGGAUGGCUGUGUGCUUCCUGGCAUCAUGCUGUGUGCUCAAAGAUGGAGUAAAGAAGACUGCCCUCCAACGUGGGUGGAUCUCAGCCAAUUGUCCAGGACUGGAAGAGGAAAAAAAGGUGGAAGGAAGGGAAAGUUGGUUUUGUCUGCCUGGCUGUUGAGCUGGAACAUGGAUCUUCCCCUGCCCUCAGACCAGGACCCGCACCAUCAUUUCUCCUGGUUCUCAGGCUUUUGAUUUGGACUGGAACUAUGCCACCAGCUCUCCUGGGUCUCCAGCAUGUAGAUGGCAGAUCAUGGGACUUCUGGGCUUCCAUAACCACGUCUUCCUCACCGAGUUCACCCCUCCGAUGCUCCUAGCGACUGUGUUACAAACACUGAACUGACACUGCAUGUGUUUUUUUCCCCUAGAGAUUGAGCAAUAAUCCACUUACCACUUCUAAACAGGACACAUGUUAUUGUCACAGAAAGCUGCCCUAAGGGAUGCUGCAGAGCCGCCUAGCUUAAAAUCACCCUAUAUUCUUUCUUUCUGACGUAUGAUUUUUAGCUAUUGUUAUAUAGAUCAUGUUGAUGUAGUAAUUGCAUUUUCUCUGGUUUUUAGAACUCCUUUACAUUUGUUAAAUCAGAAAUCCCUUCCGAACAGAAGUUUUCUGUUGUAUGUGACCAGCAUCUGCAUGAUUCAACUCACAAUGGUGCUUGAGGAAGUCGAUAUUAAUCCAGUGGUUAUCGCUGGGGAGUGGGGAUCAAAUGAGGGGUAGAGAGUUUUAUUUUCUAUUUCAUAAGCUUCUGUGUUGUUCAUUUAUUGUCACCAUAAGCAGAUGUCACAUUUCUAAUAACACAUAAAGGAAAUAUUUUCACAACGUGCACAAACAGUUGCAAAGAGGGUUAAAUUGGUAAAUCCCUCAGUUAUGCAUCCCAGGGAUCAGUCCCUUUCGAGGUACAAUUUAAUGGAAUCGAAGUCUAAUUCAAUUUUUGGACUUGCUUUCUGGGAGUCCUAGUUGCUCUGUGUUAGAAUGAUUGUGAGAUCCCCUGGGAAUUGCUUUCUGAGUACAAAACUUCAGAGAGUGGGAAGGAGCUGUUCCUGCUGCUGAAGGCAUUUGUUACACAUUUUCAGAAAUGAAUUUGAAGACAUUGCAAAGGCGAUAUUCUUUUUGCCAGUGUUUGAAUGAUUUUUAAAUAACAAUCUACUGGAAGUUUUUAAAUUUGGUAUUGCUGUUUAAUAUUAAUGAGCUUCCACAGUGUUAUCUAUCAUUCAUAAUAAAAAAAAAUCUCUCUGUAUAAGGAGAUACAAAGUUAUGCCGCCAUCAGGAUGAUUUUAAGUUAAAGGGAAAAUAAUCCUACCAACCUACAGAAAGACUGUAACCCUGUCUUUGUGUAGAUUUUCUUCCAAGCAUUUUGGUCAAAAUAUUUUUUAAGCUAGCCAUGUAGAUGGGAAGAAUGCAAGUCUUCUGAGAGUCAAUGAAUAUUCUGGAAAAUGUUUCAUUCAAUGAGUACAUUAAUUAGACUCUCUUGAUUCGAGGUGACAGAAACUGAAGUAGCAUAAGUGGAAAAGGUAAUAUAUUUGCUCAUGAAACUAAGUAUGGGGUAGGGGGUAUACAUGAUGAGUUUUAGGUGUGACUUGUUCCAGGGGCUCCAGCAACGUUGUUGGGCCUCUGUCUCUCUCUCUGCUUCUCUUGGCUCUGUUUCACUUAAAUGUUGGCUUCACUCUCAGGCAUGUUUUGACUGUAUGACGGGAAAGAUCACUCCUGGCUAGUGGGUGGGAGUGCCAAACUUGUUCCAAAAGGAAGAGAAAGCCACUCUUUUUCCCACAGUCCAUAUAGCAAAACCCAGGAAAGAUUCUAAUCGAACCUAUUGAAACGACCCCUGCCAGGGAGAUGGAGUUCAUUGGUUGGCCAGGUUGCAUCACCUUCCUGCUAUGAUGGGGGUUUGGGUGGGCCUCAUGGUGAACAACCCCACCAGGACAACGUGGAGUGGAGGAGGGGUUGUUCUAAAAAGAGAAGUCAUUGGAUGGACAAACCACAGUACCCACCAUGGAAAGCCACUUCCCUGGGAUCUGAUAAAUUCAUCAGCACCUAGGGAGACUGCCUAAUGGUAAUUACAUUCAGGCACUUGAUAAUUAAGUUGAUAUUGCAUUCUCUUAACUUUCAGUUCUAGCCUAGUAGUUGUAAAAAAUUACUUAGUUAUAAAUCACUUAGAACUCUUGCCACUUUUGUUCAACACAGUGUUGGAAGUCCUAGCCAGAAGCAAUUAGGCAAGAAAAAUAAAUAAAAGACAUCCAAAUCGGAAAGAAAGAAGUAAAACUGUCACUAUUUGCAGAUGACAUAUUAUAUACAGAAAACCCUAAAGACUCUCUCAAAAAACUGUUAGAACUAGUAAACAAAUUCAGUAAAGUUGUAGGAUACAAAAUCAAUAUGCAAAAACCUGUUGUAUUUCUAUACACUAAUAACAAACAAUAUAUCAGAGAAAUAAAGAAAACAAUCCCAUUGACAAUUUCAUCAAAAAGAAUAAGAUACCUAGGAAUAAAUUUAACUAAUGCAGUGAAAGAUCUGUAUAUUAAAAACUAUAAGGCAUUAGUGAAAGAAAUUGGAGAAAAAU